CCUACGGGAGGCAGCAGUGAGGAAUAUUGGUCAAUGGGCGGGAGCCUGAACCAGCCAUGCCGCGUGAAGGAGGACGGCCCUACGGGUUGUAAACUGCUUUUGUAAAGGAUUAAAUUGGGAAACGUGUACUUUUUUGAAGGUACUUUAUGAAUAAGGAUCGGCUAACUCCGUGCCAGCAGCCGCGGUAAUACGGAGGAUCCAAGCGUUAUCCGGAUUUAUUGGGUUUAAAGGGUGCGUAGGUGGGUUGUUAAGUUAGUUGUGAAAGUUUGAGGCUCAACGGGAGAAUUGCAUUUGAUACUGUCAGUCUUGAGAACAGAUGAGGUAGGCGGAAUGUGUGGUGUAGCGGUGAAAUGCUUAGAUAUCACGCAGAACUCCGAUUGCGAAGGCAGCUUACUAAUCUGCCUCUGACAUUGAUGCUCGAAAGUGUGGGUAUCAAACAGGAUUAGAUACCCCUGUAGUC
rnacentral:rRNA from 1 species